AUGGAGGAGCAUCAGAUAGACAAUGGACGGCCUGUGUUGCUUCGUGCCAGUGGUUGGCUCCUCCCAAACCCUAUCCUAAUUCCAUCGCCGCCACCCCCACGACUCUCUCUCCCUCCCGAUCUGCUCCGGCACUGUCCGCUCCCGAGUCUCUCCCUCUACGGCGCCGCUCUCCUUCGCCUUCCCAUCGCUCUCCCUCUCUCAUGGCGUGGACUAGCAGCGACGACGGGGAAGCCGGUGAAGAUCUCCAAGAAGCAGGAUGAGGGGGUGGUGCCCAAAAAGUGCGUCCCAAGGAACCCUGCGUGGGGCAGUGCCUCCUCAAGAUCUCAACACUCGUCUCACCGACGACAACGCGCCCUGACAAAUGGUCUUCAUACGGAGCACAAGGGGCAGCCGAUCAGUGUGAUCACAGAUGGUGUGGAUAAGAAUGGGAAGCCACACAAGCUGCAGCCCUAUUCCAUCCCCACCAGUGAGCUGGGGGACUUUGGGCCUUCUGUACAUCCGCCAACUGCCCCACCACAAUUGAUGACCACGAUGCAGGGUGGCUGCGGUGCUCCAUAUCUUCUCCAUGAGCCUCGACCAUUUCGGCUGCUCAUCGAAUUGUUUCGUGUUACACUGGUGCAAGCCGGAGAAAAGCCUACUCUGGAUCCUAUUGCAGUUGACAUCUUCUUUGCGUUGCUUUCAUCGGUGAAAAUCCAGAACAAGAAGCACAUAUAUGAUGAUGCAUCACCGGCUGCCUCCACCGCUAAUUACCCCUUUUUCCUCCUCUUCGACCACACAUCUGCUUGUCUGGAUUCUCAACGGCAUCAAUCACCACAUCCCCCGACAACUACGUCCAUGGCUGCUUCUUUCCGUAUGACCUUCUCCCUGUUGUCCUCCUCCCAAGCCAGCAGUCAUGGCAUCCCCAAGCAACAUAAGCCAGCAGCAACAAGGUAA
rnacentral:rRNA from 1 species